rnacentral:rRNA from 1 species
UAAAAUCUUAGUGGCGGACGGGUGAGUAACGCGUGGGUAACCUGCCUUACACUGGGGGAUAACACUUAGAAAUAGGUGCUAAUACCGCAUAAGCGCACGAAGCCGCAUGGAUUUGUGUGAAAAACUCCGGUGGUGUAAGAUGGACCCGCGUCUGAUUAGCUUGUUGGCGGGGUAACGGCCCACCAAGGCGACGAUCAGUAGCCGGCCUGAGAGGGUGGACGGCCACAUUGGGACUGAGACACGCCCAAACUCCUACGGAAGGCAGCAG